rnacentral:lncRNA from 1 species
GUUCAUGAUUCCACUUCUGGGGAACGUACAGGAUGAAAAACUGUCUGAGAAAUGCCACAGCAGCCACCCAUCUCUCUUCAACUACUUUCUCAGCUAAAGGUGAAAUAUUUCUGCUCCAACUCAAGGCAUCCAGGAGUCAGACAUUUAUGUUUGGGCUGGUCAGAGCUGCAGCCAUUCUCCCUUUGCAGCUGACAAGGAGAAAUGGGAACCUCCAGAAGGUUGUUCAGCUUAUCCUCAGGCAGAUAUCUAUGGUGGAUCAGAAGAUUUGCUCUCAGAAAGUGCCUUCUUGUCUCCACUGCAAGAGUUCCUGUGACCACCAUCUCCUCCCAGUCCUCAGGUACCUGGAGGGCAUCCCAGAAAAACAGGAGGGUGAGCCAGCCUGCUCAGACAUUGAUGCUUUCUGAAUCUCACAGACUCAGGACCUGUUCCUCUCCUCGUUCUGUUACCUGACUUUUGAGUGCAGCUGUGACUUUCCCUGUCCCUUCCCCAGGUAAGCACCCAGACUGCCCUGACAGUUCUGCUUUGGGGAAUAGGACAAGAGAAGGAUUUGACACAAGAAAACCCAGAUUGUCAGUGAGAACAGGAAAGUAGAUCUAGCUUUAUAUCAGUCCUAUUAUCCUCAGUUCUCCCUUGCAAAGUUGGCAAUUUGGUGCUUUCCCUGUGUAAGUUUUGGGUGUUUAAAAGGUUGGUGCAGAACCCAGUAAUCUGGGAAGUGUGGGCUCAGGAACCAACUCCUAAACCAAACCAACUCAUCUCCAGCAAGAUCUGUAUGGAGAGCAAUUGAAAGCCCUAGGCCCAGAGGGCUGUCAUCUGGCAUGUUCUUUUUUCAGCUGAUGUCAGACUUUGCUUGCAGAUUUUUGCUGGUUUUUAUUUUUUCUUUUUUUUUUUUUAUUUUUUUUGCAGAUCUGCUUAUAUACAUUUUAUGUGUUGGAGCUUUGCAGAGAAAGAAUGAUUUUUCUAAAAGAGAGAGGUCAGUUACUUCUGUCCCUGGAAUCAGCUUGGUCUUCCAUGUCAGUAUGCCCUGGGAGGUUUUUGAGUCAGUGUUCUCCCUGCUCUGUAUCAAGCCUGAAUUUCUAGUUAGGAAAAAACAUUGUUGUGGGCUAAGUCCAAAGAGUUACAGCUUUAUUUACAGUUUAGUUGCCACCUACAGCAAUGUAGCUCAUCACUAGGAUGCCUUGGGCAUGUUUCCACUUUAUAACUUAGUGAGGCUGUUUACAAUAUUAUCAACAGAAGAAAUAAAGGACCAGGGUAGAACUAUGGCCCCA